UGAUCACAACAGUAGAGCAAGGACAAUUCUUAGGGUGACUUUUCACUAAACAGGAUCAAUAGACAUAGUGGGCUAUGGAAGGAAUUAAGAGCCACCAAGACUUACUGAUGGGGUUGCAACAAAUUGGGAAAAGAUAAUCAAAUCUGAUGCCCAGGCAUAAGUCUGAGCAAUAAGGGUUCUGCUGAAAGGAGAAAAAAAACAGUUUCCUUGUGGCAGCCCCAUAUUAAACAGAAUUAGCUUUGAUACCAUAACUUGGAAGCUAAGGAUCAACCCUUUUCAAAUCUGCUUAUAUCCUUUUUGUAUCUUGCUAAGUGUAGGAUCAGGUCCAGCUCUUUAGUCUCACCUGCUUAAUCACUUAAGAACUAGUGAACAAUCCAAUGUAAUCUUACAUUAACUUCAUGUUUCUUGACCUUUCCAUUCUCCGUAGACAGUAUAAAACGAGCUAUUGACCAAAGUGGGACAAGUGCUUUAAGACGACUAUUAAGACAAGCAUCUCUUUUGAAAAACAUAGCCAAUUUAGAGGAUAAAAGCAAAUUCAAUUGGCUUUAUUUUUCAUCUUCAAGA